AUUUUUCGAAAGAAAAAAAAUCUGUUCUUAUCAGUUUAAUAUCUGAUAGUCCCUUACAUGGGGACCACAUAUUAAGUUGAUUUUUGGGACAGGGAGCUGGAUUAGGGGCUUGCUCCGUCCACUCCAAGCAUCAACCUGGUAUUGCAGUACAUCUGGGAAUGGUGCAUCCUCC
rnacentral:snRNA from 1 species